rnacentral:misc_RNA from 1 species
AAAGUCGUAACAAGGUCUCCGUUGGUGAACCAGCGGAGGGAUCAUUAAAAGAAGCCGAAAGGCUGCUUAUAACCAUCGCGAACCUAUCCAUCAGCGUUGCUUCGGCGGGAGGCCGGCCCCGGAGACGGGGGCGGCCCACGGCCCAACACCUCAGGGUGCGGGGCGCCCGCCGGAGGUACGAAACUCUUAUAUCUCUGUGGAUCUCUGAGUAAACAAGCAAAUAAGUUAAAACUUUCAACAACGGAUCUCUUGGUUCUG